GAGAUGAAAUCAAGAGUCGGAUACUCAACUGACUGAGCCACCCAGGUGCCCCCAAAAUUAUUUCUAAUUAAAGAAGUGGAACUUAACAAGCAAUGGUAAUGAAACUUCAGCUGAAAAAUACUAGACUUUCUAAUGCAUUUGGAUAUUAGGAGCUGUGAUGCCUUGAACUUCAUCUGUGGACUCUAAAAAAUGCAAAAGAGCUGGAGAGAAAUGGCUACCUGCUAUGGAAGACCAGGCCCACCCUGUAUCCUCAGCCCUCUGCUCUCUCGCCUUUGGGCCUAAAACUAUGUGUGAACAAGAAGAGCAGCUGUCACUAUAUGUAUGAAGGCACCCAGCUGGGGGUGGACAACAUCGAGACCUGCAUCCAGAAGACAUUUUGUGGCUCCAAGGAAGGACAAGGUCCUAGGCAUGAGGUUGCAGGGGAAUAAAUUCCCCCAGCUACAUCCAAAUGGGAUGCUUGACCAGACUGUCAGCUUGCUCCCUGGUAUUACAACCCCAUACUGAAAAGCAAUCCACAUAAGGAGCUCCAGCACCAGCAAAAGUCUAAAGCUUAGAUUUCUUAAAGAGGAAGAAGAGUCACAGAGAAACCUAUAGAGGAUCCCCUCCCCCCAGCCCCAGCCUGUGCUUAAUUAAGUGAGUGGCUUAAGGGACUUGCCUCCUCUUCAAGAUUAAGAGGUGGGUGUGAAUAUUUUCCUCUGGCCCCCUUAUAUGUUCUUGAUUACAGUAAUAAAAAUGCUAAGCUCUAUUGCCUCUCACUGGAGUAAAGGCAGCUGAAAACUCCUCAUUCCCUGAAGAACCUAAUUGUUGAUUCUAGUGCAUCUAAACAGGUGUUCUUUAGAUUGCUUUUUCUAAUGCCUUUUCACUGGAAAGAUCAAUUUAAAUGUUGCUUUGAGCUAAUCAGUGAUUGCUUCUGUAUUCAUCCAAAUUUAUAUCUUUGCUUCUGCGUGCUAGAUGAGACAUUACUUUCAAAGUCUAUAAACUUAAAUAAGGGAGGUGAUUUCUAAUUUAGCUCUUUGUCCUCUUCUGUCUUCCAUAUUUUAUGCAAAAUAUGCAUGUAUUUCUUUUUGUUAUUUAAAAUCCUAGUUGAAACCUGUGUUUGAACAUCCUGAGUCAUCUUUGGAUGCCCUAUAACGCCACGUGUGGUAUGUCCUAUGAGUGGGUAUUCAAUAAAUAUUUGUGGAAAAGAUAAAUUCAUGCCUUAACCUGGAUUGCAAGCACAUUGGAUUUGUGGUCCCUAGGUGUCUGAGUUCAGGAAUUCUUUCAAUAUUGUCUGAACUUUCUUGUGUCUGCAUCUGUGUUUAUUCUGCUCUCUCUGCCUAAAAUUUCCCCAGUCCCGUCUCUCAGAAAGCUCACGUUCACGCAAGGUUCUCAUCAAAUGCCAGCUGCUCCAUGAAAGCAGGCUGCAGUCUCCAACCAGCUCUCCUGGAGUCAGUAUCCGAACAAGGGAUCUGGAGAGGGUUGCGUCUGAUUUUCCAAACCCCACGAUUUCUUGCUGAAGACCCAUGUGACAGGACUAUAAAUUUUCACCAGAAAUUGAUGGGAGAACGGACACUUCAAAGUGCCUGAAAGACUUUGCAAAAGGUCCCAAUUAGCAGAAUGCAGCUAACACCUUAAAAAAAGAAAAUAGAAUAAAUGUUGCAGUGGGAAUGAAUCUUGCCUGGAGUGCUGGGUUGUUGGCUGAUUGCCUGGCGAGAGUGGUGGCCAGGACUUGCCAGCUGGCUGAUCCACACGCCUAUAAAGGAUGCGGUCAGCUUACACCUUGGCAAGCUACGAUUUUGAUGGAAAUCUUAGAGGUCGGCAGGCGUUCUCCCUCGUAAAGUACGUUAGAUCAGGUCAUUGCUUUUAUUUGAGUGAAGAAAAUAUCCUGAUGGCCAGGAUUAGGAGCACCAAGUCAGUACUCUGCUCCAAAGGAGAAUUCAUUACUGCAUCAGAAGGGAUAUAUGCCCUAAAGGAGACAGAGGGUGUAAUUGAAGGUGGCACAUUCAUCUAAUCCCCACGUUAAACCAGUCAUGCCACCGAAGCAAACCAACUGGCUCGCCAACAACCACACAUCUUCCCACAAGUUCCACUCAACAACCAGUUUUUCAAACUCUGAACUCCAAAGCUACUGCUUUCCUAUCCUCUUAUGUUUACUCAUAUUUACCUGUGGGUAGUUGUUUCACUUGUUUGUUUUGCAUAGAUCUGACUUCGAGGAUCAGAUGCAAACAUUCUAGUAGCCCCACAAUGGCUAGCUUAGUGCUUUUCAUCUGGAGGCACUCCAUGAAUGACAAAGCAGCCAAAGGAGCUUCCAUAGUCCACAGUCCAUCCUGAAAAUUUAAAAACCAGUUUUAAAAAACUGACAACCUCUCUAUCAGUCUCCCAAAUGGAUUUAUUUUUUUGAAAUUUAUUAAAAACUGAUUUUAGGGCACCUGGGUGGCUCAGUCGGUUAAGCGUCU